AUCAAAACCACCGGGACACAUAUGUAGUACCUUUUCUUGAGUCUCCCAAAUACGCCCCUCAGAGGCGAGAGAGUGCACCGCGCACCCUGGCGCUGCCCCACCCUCACCCCUUCCUGCGUGCCAACAGUGAUAACAGUAUGAACCUGCCUGACUGGAUGGCACUGCCCAAUACACCAGGCUCCAACAUAGUGUCUGUACAGGGCUAUAAGCAUUCAGGUACCAUGCGCAGCUCCAGUAGUCCCCGUGGGGCGCGGACUCGCUCCCCGUCAAGAGGGAGAGCAGGGGAUAAGGAGGACAGGAGUCGGCAGAGUCGGAGGCAGGGAGGAUGCGG